rfam:Pelagibacterium halotolerans B2, complete genome.
GCGCAGUGCCGGGCCCCUCUGGCGUAGCGCCCUUGAUCGCUACGUGAUGUCGGAACUGCUCC